CUUUCAACAACGGAUCUCUUGGUUCCAGCAUCGAUGAAGAACGCAGCGAAAUGCGAUAAAUAAUGUGAAUUGCAGAAUUCAGUGAAUCAUCGAGUCUUUGAACGCACAUUGCGCCCCUCGGUAUUCCGGGGGGCAUGCCUGUUCGAGCGUCAUUACACCCCUCAAGCGUAGCUUGGUAUU
rnacentral:rRNA from 16 species